rnacentral:rRNA from 1 species
AGUAAAUAUAAAUUACGAAAGCAAAAAAUUAUGGCGGUAUCUUAAGCUUUUCAGAGGAAUUUGCUCUUUAAUGGAUAAACCCCCUAAAUCUUACUUAAAUUAGUCAUAACAGUUUGUAUACCACUAUAAAAAUAAUAACUUGCAAUUAUUAUUUUAACUCUUUUUAGAAAAAAGUUAAGUCAAGGUGCAGCAUAAAUUUAAGAAUGAAGUGAAUUACAUUUCUUUUAAGAAAAAAGAAAUGAAAUUAAAAUUUAGGAUUUGAAAGUAAAAUUAAAAUAGAAUGUUAAUUUGAAUUAAGCUCUAAGAUAUGUACAUA